rnacentral:rRNA from 1 species
GAUUUCUGACUUGACGCGGCUAGCCCGCCUCGGUUACGAGUGUGAGUGCUGGCUCGCGUCUGUCAUCCUUCCAGAGAGCGGCUCCGGAUCCUUCACUGGGUUCGGAGUCUGCGAUCUGGAUCUAUUACUUUGAAAAAAUUAGAGUGUUUAAAGCAGGCAUUUGCUCUGAAUACAUUAGCAUGGAAUAAUAAUUUAGGACUUCGGUUCUAUUUUGUUGGUUUCUAGGACUGAAGUAAUGAUUGAUAGGGAUAGUUGGGGGUGCUCGUAUUCAGUGGCCAGAGGUGAAAUUCUUGGAUUCACUGAAGACGAACUUAUGCGAAAGCAUU